AUUGAACGCUGGCGGCAGGCUUAACACAUGCAAGUCGAGCGGGGUGAUGGUGCUUGCACUAUCACUUAGCGGCGGAAGGGUGAGUAAUGCUUAGGAAUCUGCCUAUUAGUGGGGGACAACAUCUCGAAAGGGAUGCUAAUACCGCAUACGUCCUACGGGAGAAAGCAGGGGAUCACUUGUGACCUUGCGCUACUAGAUGAGCCUAAGUCGGAUGAGCUAGUUGGUGGGGUAAAUGCCUACCAAGGCGACGAUCUGUAGCGGGUCUGAGAGGAUGAUCCGCCACACUGGGACUGAGACACGGCCCAGACUCCUACGGGAGGCAGCAGUGGGGAAUAUUGGACAAUGGGGGGAACCCUGAUCCAGCCAUGCCGCGUGUGUGAAGAAGGCCUUAUGGUUGUAAAGCACUUUAAGCGAGGAGGAGGCUCUUUUGGUUAAUACCCAAGAUGAGUGGACGUUACUCGCAGAAUAAGCACCGGCUAACUCUGUGCCAGCCGCCGCAGUAA
rnacentral:rRNA from 1 species